UACGUAGGGUGCGAGCGUUAAUCGGAAUUACUGGGCGUAAAGCGUGCGCAGGCGGUUCGUUAAGUCAGAUGUGAAAGCCCCGGGCUCAACCUGGGAACUGCAUUUGAAACUACGAGGCUAGAGUGUGUCAGAGGGGGGUAGAAUUCCACGUGUAGCAGUGAAAUGCGUAGAGAUGUGGAGGAAUACCGAUGGCGAAGGCAGCCCCCUGGGAUAACACUGACGCUCAUGCACGAAAGCGUGGGGAGCAAACAGG
rnacentral:rRNA from 1 species